rnacentral:tmRNA from 1 species
GUUACCUAUGAUGCAUUGGUGUAUGCGACAUCGUCGCGAACUUGAAGGCGAACAUCGUGUUGGACGGGGGUUCGAUUCCCCCCACCUCCACCAAAUGGCGGAAAAGCCGGUCUUUCCUUUCCCCCAUCUGAUGGGGGUGACCUGGCUUCGACAAGGCGGCCAGUACCCGGAGACACACCACGUCAGGCGACCGACGCAAAUAGCGCACAUCCAUAAUUGCAAAUGAUCAGCAAUUCCUUGCUUACGGCACCUAAGCGCCGUUAAGCCGAGUAUCCGGCCCCUUCGCUAGAAGGCUUGGGAACAGAAAGGCCGGAUCUACUCUAUCGUUAGCAGCGAGAGAAAACGUCGAGCGAAAGCGGGUGCUUCGGAAGUACCCAUAGUCGGCAACCGUAGAGGGCGCAACCUGUAGACUGGGCGCAUUUAUCCGCUCGCCUGCCCGGAACAGCACAGGCCCAACUUUCCAGGCACACC